rnacentral:tRNA from 1 species
GGUGGCUCAGUGGCAGAGCGCUUGCCUUGCAUGUAAGAGGACCUGGGUUCGAUUCCUCAGUACCA